AUUUAAGUGAAAAAAGUGUUAAAAGUUUAAAGAAAAACUUAAAUGUGAUUUUUUGCGUAAUUUGUUACGUUUUUUUGUUCAAUCGUUUGUUUUUGAAGAAAAAAAAUUUAUGAGUACAAGCUAAAGAGAGUGCAACAAGUGAGAGAAUGCAUAGUGGGAAAAAAGCAUAUAGCUGUUGUUGUUAUUUUGUGUGAAAAGAAAGUAGAGAAGUAAAUAAAAGUAUGUAAAUCAAUUAUGCGUUUUAAAGUGAUCGGUUAUUCGUUUUCAAAAUAAUCUACGUCGGCAAUUAUUCGUGUUUCGAAAAAUAAUAAAAAUAUUAAAAAGAGAAAAAACUGAAAUUAUGUUGAUAUAAGGAAAAACUUCUUAAAGAAACUUUAUGUUUGCCUCAAAGUAAAGAAGUAAUAACACUAACUAGGAAAAAAUAAAACGAGGACUUAUUAAUUUGCUGUAAUAAAC